AACCAUUUUUUCUUUUAUUGUGAAGCGCUAUGGUUGAAAAUAUUGAAGGCUAAAAUUCUGACUCAACUCUUGAGAUUUCUUCUCCAAUAUCUUUAUUGAAGUUGAAGGAUUCAAGUGUUGAUCUACUGUCUUAUACAAAUAAUUAAAGAAAAACUAUAUUGAUGAUUUCAACUUGUUAGACGGUUAUGAUUAAGAGUUGAAGGAUAGUAUUCCUGGUACAGAUUUAAUAUAAACAUACCAAAAAAUGCUUUGAUGGAAGAAAAAAAACUUCUUUGAAUGUAUGUGUGCUUCCAAGAUUUGAAAAGUGAUUGUGGAACACUUCUAUCCACUUGCUUGGAUAGUGACAGAUAAAAAAUAUGUAGAACUUGAAAGUGGUUAUCGAGCUAUUGAAAUCGCAUAGAAACGUGGAAAAGGUUCCGUGAAAGGAUUUCCAGCAGCUUCAAGCUGUUCUUCUUCAUCCAAGCGUUUCAAUUUGAGAAUUCAAAUGAAAUUGGUAUGUUCAUCACAUCCGUUCAACUUCGAAAUCACAGUUGCAACUUGAAACCUCCAAAAUUCUUUCAGGUUGGAAUCGAAACUACGUCAGGGCGAUUAUGCUUCAUCUGGUCAUGCUUGUCAAAGGUCUACCAAGCUGAAAUCUUCAAGAGGAAAACAGAGGAAUUGAAGAGGUGUAGAGUUAAAAAAAUGAUGUGAUGGUAUGCUCGGAACACUUAUAAAAAAGAAUUCGGGGAUCAAGAGGAGAUGAAGAACUGAUUUGAAAAGGCCGCUAUAGAACUAAUAUGGUACUUAUACCAAAAUUGGUGAAAUGCUUACUUUGAUACCAAAUGCAAGAAUGAAAUAGUUGACAACAACAUUACAGAAUCAUUCAACAAAAGAAUUCUACAAGCGAGACACAGGUCAAUAAUCAUAAUGUUAGAGGAUUAUAGAGUUGAGAUAUUUUGCUAGUUCUUUUUACUUACCCUCAUGUUUUAGCUUUCACUUGUCUAGUUUAUGUCAUCAAUUACUUCCUAUUAUGAUUGAUAGUUUCUAUUAUUAGAA